CCUGACCCCGCGGGUAACGCCUGUGCGCACCCGGUGCAGCCCGCGGCGUCUGAACAAGACCCACGGGGACAGCGGUGUGUAGAAUUCGGUGCUGUGCACACGGGAGCCACGGAGGAGCGUGUUAAGACCUUAAGUCACAUGACCUUCCUGCCCUGGGUUCAGGGUGGGACUGAGCCCUGGAAAGGAGGCCCGUUCAACUGAAAUGAAGUGCUCAGUAAGUACCUUUGACUUUUCUGAAGGCCACGUGAAAACGUUCAAAGGAACAGGUGAAACUACCCGGCACAGCUCAGCCAUACAGUGCUUUUCUGGCAAAUCGAAGCCCUGGGUUCCAGCCCAGCAAAAACAAGAUAAUUCAGAAAACAAGAGAGAAAGUCACAGGUGAGGUUGGUUGUGAUGUCUUUAAAGCAGUAUAUGUAAAAUGUCAUUGAUGAACUAUGCAAACAGUACAAUGAGGUGUUGCUACUAAUAACAUGUCUUUAUGGUGCUACUCAUUAGGACAGGGCUCAAAGAAAUCUCUGGAGACAGAGUCCCACUCUCAAAAUGCAAAGUUUAUUGACAAGAAUAACUUGCCCGUCUGUCCAGUAGAGUGGCACAACAUAACACAUUUAUUUGAAUAGGGUUUUUGUAACUUUUUAACAAGGAGAAAGAGCAAGCUAGAAAUGACUUUGGGUGCGGGUGGCUGGGUAAUAACAGAUUUUUGUAUUUAGGGACCUUUGGGGGGGGGCGUUAUGGGAACAGGGCAUUUUAAGUUUCUUUUUCUUGGCAUCUUAUGUUAUGGGAACAGGGAAUCUUAAGUUUUUUUCUUGGUAGUUCUGAGGCUCAGAACCAAAAUGAGUUACAACUGUCCAGGGGUCUAACACUUCAGCCUUUUAUUUUAUAAUGAUAAAGGGUAUCAUUCCUCCUGGCUUAUUUGAGCUCAAUAGGGGCAAAGAAUGGUUUAGGACAGAUCUUCAGGGGAGGGGCUAUAUUGGCUCAUAAGGAGCUAGUUUAUAGUCUGAUUAGUGAGUGCCUUUACUGGAUCUUGUAGAAAUUUCUUUAGGCACCUAUUUAGAUAAGAUCCUACGCUGAGAGCUCCAUGAUUAUGUAAGGAGGAGGUCCUUCAAUGGGAGUAGCCAGGGAAGAGAUUCCAGGGUAAAGGCUGCUGCUACUCCUGCUGGAACAUCUGGAUGCUCUCCUGGAGCUCUAACAGCAUUCCUCUCCUAAAAAAGACACAGUGCCUCCCUUCUUUGCCAAUAUUAGACCAAUGGCUCUCCUGUGUCUGAUGUGUGGUGUUAUGGGAAUGGGUAGACUUUCUGGGUUUAAGUGUCAGUUUAAGAAGUAAGGAAAAUUAAGGUAUGCAAGCCAGUUUAUGAGACUCGCAAAGGAUGAAAACCUCAGAAGUUAGGGGAUUCAGGGUUGUGGGACAAACAUAAAUAUGCAUUCUAAGUUUUUUUUCUCUUUUAAAUUUUAUUUAUUUAUUUUAGUUGUUGAUGGACCUUUAUUUUUUAUUUAUAUGCAGUGCUGAGAAUUGAAACCAGUGUCUCUUAUAUUUGAGGCAAACACUCUACCACUGAGCCACAGCCUCAGCCCCAUUCUAAGUUUUAUUUAAAAUAAUUAUUGUUUUUCCUCUAAAAUGUCCAUAUGUGGCUGUGUUUGGGUUAUACUGUCCUGCCAAGUGUUUAAGAUCAAGUUAGUCAAAAAUUGACCUGGUUCCUAUCUGUUUGUUAAGAGUGAACUGAAGGUCUGGGGGCAUAGUUCAGUUGAUAGAGUGGUUGCCUCACAAGCACUAGACCCUGGGUUCAAUCCCCAGCAAAACACACACACACACAAAGAGCUAAGUUCCCAAAGGGGUCAAUCUUGGGAACUUGAGAGUAGUUUCUUAACUCUUUUAGUGCCAUCUGCCAGGUAGGGUUUCCUUGAUGAGGUGGCUUCUCUUGGAAUCAUCAGGGAUGUUUCCCUUCUUGAAUGAUCUUCUUCUUUGCAGCAGGUAUACUAAUUAACUUUCCAUUUACCAGUGGUCUCAUUAAUCUCCCUGAUCAGGAGGUCAUGUGGCCCAGAGUAGUAAAGCUCCUUGGAGAAGUUCUCUUAUUCCCUGGGUUUAGGCUGACUCAGAAGAUAAGAGCCAAACAUUGGUUUUCUUGGCCCCUUUAUUUAAGCUCAAGUUUUAAAUCUUGAUCUUAAACAUCCAGCAAGCCAGCUCCACCAGUCUUAAAGUACAGAGUUUUAACCUUAAUGUUUGUAGCUUUACCCCUUAUAUUUACUUGGAGUCUGUAUUAGUAUUGGAAGUUAGCCUUAUAUUUUAUCUGACCUCAGGUGAUGGCUUAUUAUCUUAAAUUAAUCUAGGUUGUGUGUUUUUUAAGUAGUUCCUCUACAAAACAUUAACAGGUAACAGUUAUAAAGUUUACAAGGAAAAUACAAAAUGAAAUUAAAAAGAGUAAGAACAUGUUUGGCUUGUGUAAUAGCUGUCUUGAACUUCAGCUGCCUUAUGCAUUAUAUACCUGUUUGAGAUCACAGUAAUCUUUAGAAUACAUUAAACUUCUACACAUAACUGUAAAUAAGCUGAAGGCCAGCCUGUUUUGGAGCCAUUUUAACAUGUAAUAAGGUGGAAGGCAGAGCCUCAUGUCAAGUAAGAUGGGACUCUUGAUAAAUUUUAGGUAAAGUGGUCUAGUUUUGAACCUGAUUUUUGCCUGUUUCUUAAAUAUAAUUUUUACAAAGUUUACACAUAUUGGUUUUUGAGUCUAUCUGGAUGUUAGGUUAUACAAUAUAACAUUACAUCUAAAACAUGACUCAAAGGCUAAGAGAGCUUUUAACUCCCCUUUUGUGGGGAUAAGUGGGAAAAUGUUUUCAUAUUUUAUAAUAUCACCUCCAAACAGAUUAGGCUCUCCUUAUUAUCUUUUAAGCGUGCAUUUAAAUUCUAAUUCCAGUGUGAAGAGUAAGACAAAAUGGUAUAUAUAACUUACUGAUACUAGGUUAAUUUAUCCAGCUAUGAAACAUUAACUGAGACAAAUAAAUAUUAACUCAGUUGAUUAUUUGUACACAAAUGUGAGAUUCUUGCUACAGAUAAUUUCAGUUUGGAGAACACCAGUGUGGCAAAGUACUCUCUUAAGCUUUAUAUUUAACUAAGGUUAACUUUUAAAGUACAAUUUAGGAAAGAAUAGGAGAAGGAAGAUGGCGGCGAGGGGAGUGCAUUACCCCGGUGUGCUGCUUCACUGUGUGGGAGUAUGACAAGUCAGGACGGCUAAAGGAUAUCUUGUUAGGAAUUUCCAGCAAUAGUGGGGUGCUCAGGAACCUGGAGGAAGGAUUUCCAUCGCACGAGGAUCGGCUACGGGGACUCAAACGCGAGAGGUUUGUCGCACGGAAGGUAACACUGCUUAUUCAGCAAAUCGCCCUGCGGCUAGAGUCUGCAGCGCGCUGGGAUAGAGACGCAGGGUUACAGUGCUGCAGUUUCUGCCAGCCGCGCAAGCACCGUACUCAGGGCUGAAUUCUGGGUUCGAGACGGGGGAAGGAAGCGGUCCAUCUCAGUUCUCCACACCGGUCAGACCACAGAGGAGGCCAGCAGCCACCAUGUUGGUAAACUGACGUCACCUUCCCUGUUUUCGACUGACCGCAGCUCAUUCAGCCAUAGAACAGGUAAUUUCAGGCUGCAAUUCGCCUGCGGCUUGCAGACAGAUUGCUAGGGUUCAGCGCCUGGGUGCUUCUUAGAAUCUGAUCUUAUCGGAGCGAACACCGAGCGCGGGGCGGCCGAGUUCCGGCUCCCGGAACCGUCCCGGAACCGCCCUGGCUCAGGGCUGCGGAGCCUGCGGAGGCUGCUUCUUGGACCCUGCUACUAUCAGAGCAUACACCAAGCACUAAGCAGCCGAAUUCCGGCUCCCGGAACUGAGCCCGCGGGGACUGCUUCUUGGAGCUUACACUUAUAGGAGCUUACACCGAGCACGGAGCGGCCGAGUUCCGGCUCCCGGAACUUCCCUGGACCGGGGCUAGGAGCCCGCGGAAACUGCGUCUCGGUCCGGGUCCUGCUGAGGGCCGGUCAGGACUCACCCGUUGCUUUGGUUGCCCGGCAAGGGGAACGAAAUGCUGCCAUUCGCAUAGGAUACCAACAUGGCAGAGAUCUGAUGUCAGCAGAAAGCGGCGGAGGAGAGAACUUCAUCAAUACCAGCGGUGACAUAAGCAGUUGGUCUCCUGGUAGGGGGGGUGAGGCACAGUCACCCGAGUCUCCUCAAUUUGUCCUCGAGCCAGAGGGGAGGAGCCGGGCCGCCGCCAGCGCCCGGAGCAGGCCCAGCGGCUCGCCAGCGUGGUGACCGCGUGACCCCAAUUGGAGAGGGGGCGGAGCGGAGCCGCCACCCACACCCGCCAGGUGGGCAGACCCACGACCCAGUAGUACAUGGGCGUGGUAGGAGGGGCAGGGCAGAGCCGCCCUUCGCGCUUGCAAGGUAAACAGACCUGUGACAGCCUGGCGGGUCAGGCCCAGUGGCCUGCCAGUGUGGUACACACGUCACCCCAACUGGAGUAGGGGCAGAGCAGAUCCUUUACCCACGCCCGGAUCAGGCCCUGCCGGUGUGGUGGUCACGUGACCCCAAUUGGAGUGGGGGUGGAGCGGAACCGCCACCCGUGCCCGCAGGGUGAGCAGACCAGUGAUCAACCUGCAGAUCAGGCCCAGGGGUCCGCAGGAGUGGUAGGAGGGGCAGGGCAGAUCCGCCGCCCGCGUCUCCAAGGUAGGCAGACCUACAACAGACCGGCGGAUCAGGCCCAGGAGCCUGCCGGCGUGGUACAAACACCACCCUAAUUGGAGUAGUGACAGAGCAGAGUCGCCGCCCGUGCCAGGAACAGGCCCAGCGUCCUGCAGGCGGGGUAGUCACGACACCCCAAUUGGAGUAGGGGCAGAGCAGAGCCUCCACCCGUGCCCGAAAGGUGGGCAGAUCUGCGACCGACCAGCGGGACAGGCCCAGUGGCCUGCCGGUACGACAGACACGUCACCCCAUUUGGAGUAGGGGCAGAGUAGAGCUGCCGCCCGCGCCUGCAGGGUAGGCAAACCUGCAACCGACCGGCGGAUCAGGCCCGGUGGCCUGCCGGCGUGGUACACUCGUCACCCCAAUUGGAGUAGGGGCAGAACAGAGCCGCCACCAGCUCCCAGAACAGGCCCAGUGACCUGCCGGCGUGGUAGCCACGACACCCCAAUUGGAAUAAGGAGAGAGCAGAGCCGCCGCCCGCACCUGCAGGAAAGAUACGCAAGCAGUAUGAAAAGACAAGGAAAGAAAGGACCACAAGCAAUGCAGGUCAACGCAACUUUAGAAGAGGUAACAGCUGCAGCAGAUGGAAUGUCAGAUAAAGAAUUCAGGAUAUACAUGCUUCAGAUGAUCUGGAGUAUCAAGGAAGACAUUAAACAGCAAAAUCAGACAAUGAAAGAUCACUUCGACAACGAAUUACGCAAACAAAUCCAGGAAGCAAAGGAUCAACUAUACAGGGAGAUAGAGGUUAUAAAAAACAAGCAAUCAGAAAUCCUAGAAAUGCAGGAAGCAAUAAACCAACUUAAAAACUCAAUGGAGAAUACUACCAGCAGAGUAGAACACUUAGAAGAUAGAACAUCAGACAAUGAAGACAAAGUAUUUCAACUGGAAAAGAACAUAGACAGCUCAGCAAGACUGUUAAGAAACCAUGAGCAGAACAUCCAAGAAAUAUGGGAUAACAUUAAGAGACCAAACUUAAGAGUCAUUGGGAUACAGGAAGGUACAGAGCUCCAAACCAAAGGAAUGAGCAGUCUAUUCAAUGAAAUAAUACAAGAAAACUUCCCAGACUUGAAGAAUGAGACAGAAUCCCAAAUCCUAGAAGCCUACAGGACGCCGAAUGUGCAAAAUCAUAAGAGAUCCACACCUAGACACAUUAUAAUGAAGAUGCCCAACAUACAGAAUAAGGAGAGAAUUUUAAAAGCUACAAGAGAAAGGAAGCAGAUUACAUUUAGGGGUAAGCCAAUCAGGAUAACAGCUGAUCUUUCAACACAGACCCUGAAAGCUAGAAGAUCCUGGAAUAACAUAUUUCAAACACUGAAAGAAAAUGGGUUCCAACCAAGAAUNAUGUUCAAAACUCUAGAAAAACUAGGGAUAACAGGAACAUACCUCAAUAUUGUAAAAGCAAUCUAUGCUAAGCCUCAGGCUAGCAUCAUUCUGAAUGGAGAAAAACUGAAGGCAUUCCCUCUAAAAUCUGGAACAAGACAGGGAUGCCCUCUCUCUCCACUUCUCUUCAACAUAGUUCUCGAAACACUGGCCAGAGCAAUUAGACAGACGAAAGAAAUUAAAGGCAUAAAAAUAGGAAAAGAAGAACUUAAAUUAUCACUAUUUGCAGAUGAUAUGAUUCUAUACCUAGCAGACCCAAAAGGCUCUACAAAGAAACUAUUAGAGCUAAUAAAUGAAUUCAGCAAAGUGGCAGGAUAUAAAAUCAACACGCAUAAAUCAAAGGCAUUCCUGUAUAUCAGCGACAAAUCCUCUGAAAUGGAAAUGAGGACAACCACUCCAUUCAAAAUAUCUUCAAAAAAAAUAAAAUACUUGGGAAUCAACCUAACAAAAGAGGUGAAAGACUUAUACAAUGAAAACUACAGAACCCUAAAGAGAGAAAUAGAAGAAGAUCUUAGAAGAUGGAAAAAUAUACCCUGUUCAUGGAUAGGCAGAACUAACAUCAUCAAAAUGGCGAUAUUACCAAAAGUUCUCUAUAGGUUUAAUGCAAUGCCAAUCAAAAUCCCAAUGGCAUUUCUUGUAGAAAUAGAGAAAGCAAUCAUGAAAUUCAUAUGGAAAAAUAAAAGACCCAGAAUAGCAAAAACAAUGCUAAGCAAGAAGUGUGAAUCAGGCGGUAUAGCGAUACCAGACUUCAAACUAUACUACAGAGCAAUAGUAACAAAAACAGCAUGGUACUGGUACCAAAACAGGCGGGUGGACCAAUGGUACAGAAUAGAGGACACAGAAACCAAUCCACAAAACUACAACUAUCUUAUAUUUGAUAAAGGGGCUAAAAGCAUGCAAUGGAGGAAGGAUAGCAUCUUCAACAAAUGGUGCUGGGAAAACUGGAAAUCCAUAUGCAACAAAAUGAAACUGAAUCCCUUUCUCUCGCCAUGCACAAAAGUGAAUUCAAAAUGGAUCAAGGAACUUGAUAUCAAAUCAGAGACGCGCCGUCUGAUAGAAGAAAAAGUUGGCUACGAUCUACAGUCGGUGGGGUCGGGCUCCAAAUUCCUCAAUAGGACACCCAUAGCACAAAAGUUAAUAACUAGAAUCAACAAAUGGGACUUACUCAAACUAAGAAGUUUUUUCUCAGCAAAAGAAACAAUAAGAGAGGUAAAUAGAGAGCCUACAUCCUGGGAACAAAUCUUUACUCCUCACACUUCAGAUAGAGCCCUAAUAUCCAGAGUAUACAAAGAACUCAAAAAAUUAGACAAUAAGAGAACAAACAACCCAAUCAACAAAUGGGCCAAGGACCUGAACAGACACUUCUCAGAGGAGGACAUACAGUCAAUCAACAAGUACAUGAAAAAAUGCUCAACAUCUCUAGCUGUCAGAGAAAUGCAAAUCAAAACCACCCUAAGAUACCAUCUCACUCCAGUAAGAUUGGCAGCCAUUAGGAAGUCAAACAACAACAAGUGCUGGCGAGGAUGUGGGGAAAAGGGUACACUUGUACAUUGCUGGUGGGACUGCAGAUUGGUGCAGCCAAUUUGGAAAGCAGUAUGGAGAUUUCUUGGAAAGCUGGGAAUGGAGCCACCAUUUGACCCAGCUAUUCCCCUUCUUGGUCUAUUCCCUAAAGACCUAAAAAGAGCAUGCUACAGGGACACUGCUACAUCGAUGUUCAUAGCAGCACAGUUCACAAUAGCAAGACUGUGGAACCAACCUAGAUGCCCUUCAAUAGACGAAUGGAUAAAAAAAAUGUGGCAUUUAUACACAAUAGAGUAUUACUCUGCAUUAAAAAAUGACAAAAUCAUAGAAUUUACAGGGAAAUGGAUGGCAUUAGAGCAGAUUAUGCUAAGUGAAGCUAGCCAAUCCCUAAAAAACAAAUGCCAAAUGUCUUCUUUGAUAUAAGGAGAGUAACUAAGAACAGAGUAGGGACGAAGAGCAGGAGAAGAAGAUUAACAUUUAACAGGGAUGAGAGGUGGGAGGGAAAGGGAGAGAGAAGGUAAAUUGCACGGUAAUGGAAGGAGACCCUCAGGGUUAUACAGUGGAGGGGGUAGAGAGAGAGGAGGGGAGGGGAGGGGAGAGGUGGGGAGGGGGAGGGUGGAGGAUGGGAAAGGCAGCGGAGCACAACAGACACUAGUAUGGCAAUUUGUAAAUCAAUGGAUGUGUAACUGAUGUGAUUCUGCAAUCUGUGUAUGGGGUGAAGGUGGGAGUUCAUAACCCACUUGAAUCAAAGUGUGGAAUAUGAUAUGUCAAGAAAUUUGUAAUGUUUUGAACAACCCACAAUAAAAAAUUAAAAAAAAAUAAUAAAAUAAAGUACAAUUUAGAAUCUAGAGUGUAUGGUAAAAAUCAUGGGUCUGUAUGAGUUAACAAAAAUUAAAGGAUAGCCUUAAAUCUCUUAUACAUUUGGGAAACAAUGUUAAUGAUCAGAAAUUGACUUAGUCAAAGUAAACAGAUAUAAGACAGAUUUCUAGGGGCUGGGGUUGUGGCUCAGCGGUAAAGCGCUUGCCAGCAAGUGUGGGCCCCUGAUUUCGAUCCUCAGCAUCACAUAUAAAUAAAAGGUUUAAAAAAGAGAGACAGUAUGGCCCUUCAUGGCCAUGUAUAAAAGAAAACAGUUAUUGGUUAUCUUGCUGGUAUAUUUACAUAAACUUUCACAUGACACAUAGGCUUAAACAGAUGUAGUUCUCAGAUGUAUACAUAUACCUAGUCUCAGAUGUAUACAUAUACCUGUUUUUUGUGUCAACUAUAUUGUUAUAAUUUAAAUGACAACUAUUUGUUUAACCAAUUAUAAAGUAAUCAUAUAAGGCUUUAAAACAGGUGCAAACCCUAGUUUCUUCAAGAGUUAAUUUCCUGCUGGGAGCAGUGGCACAUGCCUGUAAUCCCAGUAACUAGGGAGUCUGAGACAGGAGAAUCGUGAGUUCAAAGCCAGCCUGAGCAACUUAGCAAGGCACUAAGCAACUCUUCGAGAUCCUGUCUGUAAGUAAAAUACAAAAUAGACCUGGGGAUGUGGUUCAGUGCCCCUGAGUUCAAUCACUGGUGUCCCCCUCCAAAAAACAAAACAAAACAAAACAAAAACAGUUUCUUUAAGUAACAAAUACAAGAAAAUUAUUUUGCUAGGUAAGAAUGAGUCAAUGUUUUAGACUUAAUUUCCUGUCAGUACAUCAAAGUUUAAAUAACUGACUGUGCUAACAAAAGACCCAGACAAAUGCAAACCUCAAAAUUAGCUCAGGUUUUUUUGUUUGUUUUUUCCUUCCUGAUUUGUGAAGUUUGCUGAGUGUGUAAGGGAAGGGAAAAUUGGGGAAGAGAAACAGUAGUCUCUUUUCAAGCCAACAAAACCCUUGGUAUAGAUGCUUUUUACUGUCCACGUGGUAUAAAACCAUAAGAGUUUAGCAUAUAGUUGAUAUGAGGUCCUUCAGAGGGCUGCUGGAGUCAGGUCUUGGGCUCAAAGUAUUUGUGCAACACUAAGGAGUCGCCCCAGCCAGAUGCUCUCAGUCACUUGGAGCCGCCUGGCUGCCACCUGCAGCAAACCUUUCCCACCCAGCAGUGGAUAUUUGUCCCCUAAGGCUGCUAGAGGUAGCUUCAGGCCCAAGACCUUCACACAGCACCAGAGUGGCCACCGCGGGCGGAAUUCAGUUGCCUUGGGCUUGUGGCCUCUCCCUUGUACCCAAUCUCUCCCACAUCAAGGGGACAGCAGAGGACACGGGGGACCUACGAUGACAGGGUGGAGAAAUGCAGAGUUAGAUUCAGUCCAAUCCUGGUGCCCUGGCUCUCGGCGGCUCUUCCUUCAGCUUCCACAGAACAGCUUCUGUGCAGCUGCCUCUGAUGGCUUCAUCACGGAGUUCAGUGAUCUGAGGGUGCGCAAGUCCUUGACUCCAGAGGAAAUGAAGAGGCUUGAGUCAGGACAAGAAGAGCAUUGUGGGAAGCCAUUCUCGCAUGUGAUUGGGCACCUCCCUAACUGGGUGUGAGGCGUUCUGGCUAAACUGUGUCAGAACUAAUCCCCACCCUUUCCAGAUGCGAGAGCCUGUGGGGGUGUGACUGACCAUUGACCCUGAGACCAAUCACUCAUCUGACCUUGGAAUGCCUCCCCCUCGACCUUCAUUGGAUGGAAUUUUCCUCUGAAUUUCUUGUUCCCCAUAAAAGGCCACUCCCUGGCGUGCUCUCUCUCUCUCUCUCUCCUGCUAGUCCUGAGUAAGCCUCGCUGCCCCACCGGGUGGUUCAAGGCAGGAGCCAGAGGGAGGGCCGUCUCAGACCUGGUCAAAGAAAAAGGUAAAUUGAGUUUGUGUGUUUAUUUUGAUCUCACUAGUUAACUUCUAUGCUUUGAACCUCUUGUAUGAAGCCAGUGUGGAGAGCAUCAUCCUGGAGGAGGGCAAGGAGGUCCUGCUAGGUGAGGUGACCAGACUGGACAUUCCUAUGCCACCUUUGUCAAGGUGCUCCAGACAAGGACGGCUGCUAUGCCCUCUAUGACGCAAGCCAGGAGAGCAAGAAGGAGGACCUGGUAUUUAUCUUCUGGGCCUCUGAAUCUGCACCCCUUAAGAGCAAAAUGAUCUAUUCCAGGUCCAAGGACGCCAUCAAGAAGAAGCUGACAGGGAUCGAGCAUGAAUUACAUGCAAACUGCUAUGAGGAGGUCAAGAACUGCUGCACCCCGGCUGAAAAACUGGGGGGCAAUGCUGUCAUCUCUCUGGAGGGCAAGCCUUUGUAAGCCCCCUCCAGCCACCUGCCUGGAACAUCUGGCAGCCCCAGACCUGCCCUAGGGGGUUGCAGGCUGCCCCCUUCCUGCCAGACUGGAGGGGCUGGGGGAUCCCAGCAGAGGGAGGGCAUUCCCUUCACCCCAGUUGCCAAACAGCCCACCCACUGAACCUUCCUCCUCCCUCCAUCCCUGACAGUUCUGGCCUUCCCAAACUGCUUUUGAUCUUCUAUUCCUCUUGGGUUGAAACAGACCAAGUCUUCCCCCAGGCACCCAGUUUGGGAGGAGCUGUAUUUUUUUUUAACGAUACCCCUAUUUCCCACCUGUUUUUCCCCCAUCCCAUGAUGCCAAGUUCUAAGUAGUGACUCUGUGCCUGUCUGUUUAGUUCUGUGUAUAAAUGGAAUAUUGUGGAGAUGAUCCCUCCCUGUGCCAGGUGGUUCCCCUCCCUUUUCUCUUGGUCUUGACCAUUCAUGGAAGCAGGACAGUAAGGAACCUUCAAUUAAAGAAUUUAAAAAAAAAAAAGAAAAUGCAGAGAGUUAGAGAUUCGGCCAUAGCCAUGUGAGCAGUGGCUGGAGGGGCUCCCAGCCUUCAGAGGACCUUAGAGGUGCUAGAUGAUCACAGUCACUUUCUAGGCCUCAUCAGCUGUUUAACUGACCACGGAGAAAGGAGCUGUGUUACAGGAAGUAAUAAAUAUUGCCUUGCGCUCAACUCUGGUUAGGGAACCAAUCCCAUCAGAAACACAAACUUUUGAGAUUCUCCUUCUGCAAUUUACUAAAACAUUCAUAAUUUGUCUACAUUCUUAGUUUUAUCCUCUGUUUUGGACUUUAACACAAGAAUAUUACUUUAUUUUCUGAUUUUCCAUACUAAAGUAUAUUUCCAUACCUAUAACUUUCUUUUAUCUUUUUUAGUUUCAGAUCUUUCUUCUGGUGUCCUGCUGUUCUUGCACACCAGAGGCCAUGCCUUUUGGCACCUUCAACUUAUUGCCUGACUGUUCAGACUCCUUACCAUGCAACUAAAUAAAUGUGAGUACAGAAUCUCUUUCAUUCAUUUUAACUCUGACAGACCAAUUUCAAUUGUAAGAUUGUAUAAUUAUCCAGAAAACCAUUUAAAGGCCAGAUAGUGACAGUGAAACAAGCCCAUACCUAUAGUGGCCCAUUCAGCUAGUUUUAAGGGGCUAUUAAUAAGAUCCAUGUAAUAUGGCAUACAUCCUAAAGGGCUAGUAAAAGAUAUGAAAAGCAGAUAAGCAAAACAGAAACCAAAACCAAAGCUGACAGGUUUAAAAAAAAAAAAUGUACAUACAAAUUUCUUCCUUAGCUUGGAUAGUGAAGGACACAGGGCAGGUGGAGGAGUGAGAGCCUUGCAGCUGCCUUAGAUGCCUCUUUCCUCUCAUUGUUGACAUGAUUUCCAGAGUUAAAAGUUCAAGAGUAUUGACCUUGAGAGACCUAAAUUCUAGUUAGAAUAUUGGAGGACUCUGGAGUUUAAAUAAAAUAAUAGUAUUUUAUAAUUCUGUAUUUUUUUAGAACAUGCAUGAACGUAAAAUUUUAACCCUUAAUCAUCUUGCCCUUAAUGAAGACCAGAAAUAAAGCAAUCCUAUACUUUCCAUUGAACAACAAUGUAUAAAAAUCGCAUUUAUAAUGUUUAUCCCGUCCGGUGUAUGUUAAAUCUGAUUUAUCUAUUUUAACUUAGGUUACUCAUGAAAAUUAAAUUUGUUAACAUUUUAAGUCAUCUUUUUUGUUGAUGAAAAUUCUAGAAGAAGCAAUGGACAUUAUAAUAGAAAGUGAUGGUUUUCAUUGUCUGAUCAUUUGGGAAAAGAGUGUGGAUUAGUGAUUUUAAUGACAUCAUUACCUUUAUUUGUUUAUCCAAUUGAAAUUGAACUUUCGAAUCACAUGAAUCAAAGGUAUUUGAUCCAUUUUUGAAUUCUAGUUUAUAAGCACUCAAUAUGUUGGUUUUGAUACAUAUAUACAUGUAGACAAGCCAGUACACAGAACAAAAAAGCAAAGGCCUUAUAGUUUUUGUUUUUAAUAUUUGUUAAAUUGUCAAUGGACCUUUAUUUAUUAACUUAUUUAUAUGUGGUGCUGAGAAUUGAACCCAGUGCCUCACACAUGCUAGACAAGUGCUCCACCACUGAGCCACAAUCCCAGCCCAAGGCCUUAUAGUUUUUAAAAAUUUAUUAGAUUAAGAGUCAACUCUUGUAAAUUGGCCUCUGAAUAAAGCAGAGUGUCAAAAAAAAUAUUUUUGAUGGAUAAAAUAGGUCUGAUCAUAAAUUUUAACUUAGGCACAUAGAAUCAAAAUAAUGAGUUCAGGGGGCUGGGGUUGUAGCUCAGUGGUAGAACUCUUGCCUAGAAUGUAUGAGGCCCUGGGUUCAGUCCUCACUCAGCACCACAUAAAGAUAAAUAAAUAAAAUAAAGGUAUUGUAUCCAUCUAUAACUACAAAAAACAUGUAUAUUAAAAAAUAAUGAGCUAAAAAGAAUUUAAAAAAUAAGUUUCCUAGAAAAAAAAUGAUAUGGCCAUGAAUUAUUUCAAUAAAGCAACAGGAGAGAAUGAGGAGAAAAAGAGAGGGAGAAAGAGAAAGGAGAGAGAGGGAGGGUGGAAAUUUGAAGUUAAAGAGGCAUUCUUUUUCCCUUAGUCUUAGGCCCCCCUAUUGUGCCUGCCAUUUGCAUUCCUGUGCUGGCUUCAGAGGAGUCUUGGCCAGGGAAAUUGCUGCCUAGGGCUUUUAAACCUUAUUUUUUUCUGGUUGGUAAUUAGGCCAGGUUUGGAUACAGAAAAUUAUAAAACAUUAUUUCCCGUUACCUUUGAGGAAUGAGAUUGUUAUGUCAUACUAUAUUUGGUGAUUGAGUAAAGGAAAAAAAAGUUUGGAAGUAGGAACCUCACACAACCUUGUCAUUUUGCAAUAAGUAAAUUCUUUUUUAAACUUUGGAGAAUUUUUGAUCAAAGGUUUCUUACUUGAGCCAUUGGUGCAAGUUAUCUGAUUUAUUUUGUGGCCAAAUUUGAGUACUGAGCCUAUUGGCAUAUUUAAUUUGAGAUAAGUAUGGUAAUAGAGUGUUUUAAAAUUGGCAGAGAGAAAACCUAAGGGCAUGUUUGGGGGAAUUGACUGAGUAGUCCCAUCUUUGGAGAGGCUUGGGGAGGAGAGUAGAGGAGAGGAUUAGAUAAAUAUCGUGUCAGGUGAGAUCAUAGUUCUAUGUCAGAUAUUGGAUUUUUGGUGAAAGAAUCAAGAUAUGUGGUAUAGGAUCUGAGGUGUUUUGGGUCUGGGAGAGGUCAGAGAGGGAGAAAGGGAUAUGGACUCUGAUAAUCCCCCCAUCCAGCAAUUUUCCUAAGGGAGAAAAUAGGAAUGGGCUGGGAAGAUUGGGAGGGAAGCUGUCCAUGACAUCAGGUAUGUGGAGGGCUAGGAAAAUCCAUAUUGGGUGGGCGCUGGGGUGCAGAGUGCUGAGGAUGGAUAUGGGCAUCAGGUGGGGGUGACACACCCAAGAGAAGAAGAGACUCACCAGGGGAUAAUUCACCUGCGGAUUAACCACCCAGUGUUGGAUGAGUAGCUAGAGUGCUCUGAGGAGAGAAGAGGAGAUUCCCUGAGAGAUUUGAGCACUCUGUUUGGAUUGGGGGUUCACCAAAGCAAAUCCCCCGAGGGAGAAUAGGAUUUAUGGUGACACUUCCUUGAUUCCCGGCCAAUAUACCAAAAUGUUAGGACAGAAUGCUCAAAGAAAUCUCUCAAGACAGAGUCUCAAGCUCAAAAAGCAAAGUUUAUUGACAAGAAAAGCCUGCCAGACUGCCCAGUAGAGUGGUGCAACAGCCACAUUUAUUUGAAUAAGGUUUUUAUAUCUUUUUUAGAAGUAGCAAGAGCAAGCUAGAAAGGACCAUGGGUGCAGCAAGCUAGAAUUGACCUUGAGUUCAGGUGGCCCAGCAAUAACAGAUUUGUAUUUAGGGACCUUGUGGGAGAGGUUAUGGGAAUAGGGUAUCUUAAGUUUCCUUUUCUUGGUAGUUUUGGUUCUGGGUGAAGAUAGAGUCCCAGAAUAAAAUGGAGUUACUAAUGUUUAGGGACCUAACAGUACUGUUGCAGGGGACAAACCAGGCAAGACAGCAAAUAGGUACAGGAAGCAGAUUUUAUUGAGCUAUAGCCAGGUUCAUAAGGGCAAGCUUUCACUGUAAUCAAUCAAUCCCCCUGAACCCCAAGUUCAGGUAGUUUCACAACUUUAUACCCAGUAUGUAAGGGGAAGAGCUCAGAAGUUCCCAGUCUGCAUAAGUUCACAUAAAAGCAGCUGUUCUGGCCAAGUUAACCCUUCAAGGACAACACCUGAGAACAGGAGAGCUUCUUCUCCCCUUUGUUUCCUCUGCCUGCCAGCUGUUACCAGCCCAAUUGGUAACUUUUCUUAUCUUAGAAAUGUAGUCAUCUCUGUGAAGCUCAGCUCAAGGUCAGAGGCCUUGUUAAAGGAUUUUUUUUUUUUUUAAUCACACUUUGUAUUUGCAAACACACUUCUACAAACUACUAUACUGGAUAAAUGUUUGUAAAAACUAGUAAGGGGGCAUUUGGCACCUGAUCUCUUCCAGGCCAGUGGCCAAAUAAAAUAGAGCAAUAGAAGUAUAGGAAGUUUAACUAUGUUGGAACCUUUUACCUCCUUUGGGACCGCGGCCAUUAUUAGGUGUUGGCUGAGGUGGACUCAUGGGUUCUUCCAGAGAAUUUCCACCCGAGCGCAGGCUUUUGACCUUACCCCCACCUAAUGGUUUAACCUGAAAUCUGCCUAGGCCCUUAGUGAUAGUGACGUAACUGCUCCUUAUUGAUUCUCGCUACUGUCUCUUCUUACCCCUCCUUCUAUCACUAUAUAACCUUGUCCCUAACACAAUAAAGUUGAGAUUGCUGCACCUUCACAGUUGACUCAACUCCCGGCUCAGUGUGGUUUGUUCCCAAUCUUGGGUGGGGACUGGACAGCAACACUUACCCUCUUGCUCAGCCCCUCAGAGACAGCAGGAUGGUCCCGCCUGUCUCCCACGUACCUUUGUUGCAAGGAGCAACAUAACUACAUCGAACUUUUUGUAGAGACUCUUUUGCUGAUAGUCCUGAAAUCAAUUAUGGUGAAGAUUUCUGGAGAAGCUUAGUUACGACCUUCUCUAGAGAAGGGGGUGCCAAUACACUACGUCUUCAAAAUUUUUCUAAUCUCUCAGUAGAUUAGCUCAGUGCAGACCAGCCACAGUCCAUGUACUCAGGAGCCCAACUUACUCUUUGUGGCUGCCACAUCACAGGUGCACUUCUGAGGUUUGUGACCCCCUGAUAUCUGUUGCAGAAAAGGACCCACUUUUGUGCUACAAUAAGGGAACAUCCCUUUCCUGCCAGUAGCUCUCCUGCUUUCCAAGGAACACAGAAGCACAGCCCCCAGAAGAGAACUGGAGCUGCAGGCAAAAAAAUCUCCACAGGUUGACCACAGCUUCCCACCUGCUGGUUAGUGGUGGCUCAGCCCCUCCCAGAGAUCACAGAGCAAAAAAGGAAAGAGGGACCCUAAGACUUCAGCUGUGUCUGCAGUUGACCUCCACUGGUUAAAUGUGCAGGGAGGAGAUUAAAGGAACACUUACUUUCUAUUUUGAUCUUGGCUAUAAUCUUCAGGCUGUGGUUGUAUAGUUUCCUCCUUGCAUGUGUGGAGUGCUCUGUGACUAUCAAUCGCAUGUAUAGAUGUAUAGACGUAAUAAGAAAUAUACCAUCUAAUAAGAAAUACAACCUUAAACAAGGGGAAGAUAAAAUCAGUGCCUUUGGGCUUCCUCUUGGCCAGGUAUCUCAUAGUCAACAAGUUGUUGAAUCCUGGCCUUGCAUCUGCACUGGGUCUAUGUGUCAGGUAUCCUUGAAUGCAGAACAAACCACUCCAGAACUUACCAGCUCAUGACUGGGCUGGUCAGCAAUCUGGGCACAGUGGGGCCCACUCAGGCCUGUGUUGACCAGGCAGCUCUGCUUCUGGGGAGAACUGGCUGUUGGCUGGGGCACCUUGGUUCUCUUCUCCAUGAUAUCUCCUCCUCCAUAAGCAACAGUCUUUGUGCUCAUGGAGACAGAGGGAUCUGGUAAGAAGACCUGUUGAGAGCCACAGCCGAAGGGGCCCCAGCAAACUUCCAGCUGCCAGCAAACUUCCAGCUGCCGGCUGAUGAUUGGCUCACAGCGGCCCCAGCAACAUCUAGUGGCAGUAGUCUUANUCUAAAAAUAAAGCUAGUUUCUUUUGACAAGUGGCUCCUGAUUGUGCCCAGCCAGACUGCGGCAUUUGGUGGCCCGUACGGGGAUCGAACCCGCGACCUUGGCGUUAUCAGCACCAAGCCAGACAGCGGCAAAGACCAAAAGCCAGAAUUUUUUUUCUGUAUUCCUUCUUAUCAUUCACCUAUGUUUGCUGACAUCUUACUGAUGUUCCUUACCAUCAUUUUAAAUUCUUAGAUCCUUCAUAGCUGUCACUCAAUACAGAUAUAUUCCUGGGGAAUUAUUUUUCACAUUGAGAUGACAUGUUUCCAUCCUUGAUUCUUGUGUCUGGAUUUGAUGUCUGCACCUCUGGUGUGAUUUUGUGGAGCCAAUUUUGUAGAAAGGAUUUUUUAGGUAGAUGGACUGGACUAUAGGAUGUUAGUUGUACAGGUGUUUUAGAUUUGGAUAUAGGGAGGUAAAGAAAACAGUCUCCAUGAUCUCAUUUUUUAUUUAUGUAAACCUUGUGUGAGUGCUUCAAUGUUCUGACUACAGAAACUGAAGGUAGUUACCCAAAAUUUCAGUGAAUGUAAGCAUGCAAAGGUGUGCAUCUUCUGGCUCCAUGGCCAAUCCCUGAUGGCACUGAAGCUUUUUGUGACAGCUGCCACCAUCUUGACAACAUCUGAAGAUAAGAGCAUAAGUGGUACUAGAGCUUUUGGCACCGGCAUCUCAGUUCUGAAAUCUGUGUGCUGUGGAGAACAUUGCUGGGCUUCUGAUGAUUGUGCAGAUCUUGUUUGGAACUUUGACACUGGUAUUCAUGCUCCUGGAGGUGGGGAAAUGUGUAUGGGAGUUCCUUCCUAAUCCCAUGGAUAUCAAACAGGUAGCAAAGAGGACUGUGGUUUUAAUAUUUGCAACCCUGAAGAUGCAGAACAGGGCUCAAAAUGUCUCUAGAUCAUGUGAGGCCAACUCUGGUCAGAGCCCAUCUUGUAGUGUUGGUAGUUACAAUCCUAGGGUUACAUGACUGAGUCAAGCUUGAGUGAUGUUGAAGCUAUUUUCAACAACAGCUGUAGUCCCAAGGGCAUUGGCUGGGGAGAUCUUCCGUAGUUUCUACCAGGUGAUCAAAUGUGGUGCUGGGUAUUGAUGCUAUUGGAUUUCUUAUUCCAGGAGCUGUGCAAAAUGGCUUCCACAGUUCAGUCCCAGUGGGUUGGUGUAAGUGAAGUCCAUACUUUGCCUCAGCACCACAGGCUUGAGGAUAUGGAGACCUUCCCAGAUUCUGCAAGAUGAUUUCAGGUACUGGUGGGAAUCUGGACCAUUGAUAGUCAUGGUUCUGGAGUGGUGGGACUUUGCCAGGUGUUUUCUCAUCUCCCAAGGAAUAGAAAUGAGUGAAGAUGGGACUUUCCAACCCUAGUGGUGUGGCCCAGGGGGUGUUUGGCUAGAUCUGGACAGGUGAGCACAGGUGGUGGGCUUGGGCCACUAACUCCUACAUUUCUGGAGCUGUGGGACACAACUGGGGCUUUCUCAGUGCCUGGUGGACAGGAGUUAGUGAAAUUGCAAACUGCAUUGUCCUUGUCUGAAGGUUGCCUUGUGAACUCUGUGCAGUCCAGAGCUCCCUUCCUUCCCUAUUAAUUUCCUGAGCCUGCCUCAGUCUCUGCUAAAAGCACUUCUUUGGUGUCCUGAUGCUUCCCUGUGGCAGCGUGAAGCACAGGGCACAGCCACACAGCCGUCUCGGCUACCUCCUCUAAUGAUGCCAUUAUCUUUCCAUCGGCUCUGGGAAGGGCUUCCCUCCUCAUGCCCAUGACCGUGGCCUCUUCUUUUCUGUAACAGUAGUUCUAGUCUCAAGUUUAACAAAUAUUCUCUGAAAAUAUCUGGAAGAUUUCAGGGAAAAUAACUUCUAUUUUCUGAACACAUAUACACAUCAGUGGACCUCAUCUAUAAAUUAAUUUAUACCGUGGACUUGAAAUGCAUCCUUUGUUACCCUCUUUCUUUUCACAUGAAUCCUUUUCAUGCAUGCUAAGGAUGGGUGCGUUUGUGAAAGGUAAUAAAGACUGAUGUAUAGAUACCUGUUUGAUGACUGUAUUUUUACAUGGACAAUUAGCAAGCACUUCUUUCACAUAAGAUAGAUAUGUAGAUACUUUUUUAAACUUUAUUUUCAUUUCAGGGAUACACUAUAUGUGAACACUUUGUAUUAUUCUUUCAUAAACUUCUAGAUUCAACUAAUCCUGUUUUAUAAGGAUGUUUGUAUCUAUUUUGAUUCUUAAAAGUAACUUCAAGUGGUCUAGUGCUGACAUUGCCCAAUUUUGAUUUUUAUCCUUGGAUGACAUUAGCAGUUUUCUUUAUUUUAAUUUAUUUUAUUUUUUGCAGCUUCCAAAAUCUGGUAAUUAUCUACCAUUCCAAAUAUGUGAUAGAAAUAGAGUGCCCAACAAUAAGAAUGUCCUAUCAUUAUACUGCAUUUCAAAGUCACAGUAAUUUACUAUGUGUGAUCACAUGUGAAUAAUGCAAAGUAGGUUUUGUUUAUUUUAACUUGAUUUUAAUUUUGGAGUUGCCUUAAUUUUUCUUUUUGUGUGUGUGUGGGGGGGGGGGGCGUUACUGAGGUACUGAAACAACAUUUGUCUUUUUCUUGCUCUGCCAUGAUCCCCACACAGCUCAUGAGAUGGGCAGGGCCUCCCCAGAUGUCAGUCAGGGCCUUGCAGGUGCUAGAAAAGGUGUUUUUAAAAAGGGAAUAUUUCACCUUGUUCAGCUAUAAAAUAAAUACAUUCCAUAUCUAAGAAAAACCUGGGCCUCAAUGCAGUAAGCAGGCAAUCUGCUGACAGCAGACAUCAUGAAGCUAGACUCAACCUCCUGAAACCUGACCCCUUGCUUCAUUUGAAUGUCUUUUCUCUAGUAAAAGGGUUUAGCAUGUGCUCUGUCUCUGUUUAUUUUGUGCAACUCAGUUCACCUGGAGUGACCUUGAGUGUUUAGUUGAGAGAUGCAACAGAAUGAAAUUGCAUAAAUUAUGCUAUUUGCAUGCAUGGAAUAUACAAUAGUGGAUUCCAUCAUUAUGUGUAUCUAUAAAGCAUUUAUUUUAAUUUUUUAAAGUAUAAAUAAAUAAAAGGAAGCCUAGUAGAGGAAACAAAACAGAAAAAGAAUAGGAGAAAGGAGAGUUGGUGGGGACUGAAGUAAAGACAAUUACAUCCCAUGGUUGCAUGUUAUGUAAAAAUAAACCCUCAUAUUAGCCAGGCACAGUGGUGCACUCCUUUAAUUGUACCAACAUGGGAGACUGAGGCAGGAGGAUGCCAGUUUGAGAAAAGCCUCAGUAAUAUAGCAAGUUCCUAAACAACUUAGUAAGAAAAUAAAUAUUUAAAAAAUAAAAUAUUUAAAAAAUAAAAAGGGCAGGGCUAGGGUUGUGGCCCAGUGUUAAAGCACUAGCACCUGCAAGGCUCUGGGUUCAAUCCUCACCACCACAUAAAAGUAAAUAAAUAAACAAAUAAAAUAAAGGUAUUGUGUCCUACUACAACUAAAAAAAGAAAUAAAAAUUAAAUUUAAAAUUAAAAGGGCUGUGCAUGUGGCUCAGUGGUAAAGUGCCCUGAGUUCAAUCCCUGACAGCAAACAGAUAUAUAAUUAAAACAAACCCUAAUAUCAUGUAUAACUAUAAUGUACUAAUAAAGACAAAAAGAAAAUAAAAAACAUAAAGCAAAAAAACAAAAACAGUACAAUUUGAGAAAAUAUAAGCUUAAGUAAUACUCUGGUUUUGCUAUUCAACAGCACAAAAGAAAUGAAAAAGACAACAUAGCCUAUUAGUAGCAUUUUUUCCCCUGAGAUUUCCUCAAAUUCUAAAAUAUGUCCAAUGAUAAAAUCAUAAAAUAGAAAAGGAAUAUUUCACCUUAUUCAGCUAUAAAUAAAUACACUCCAUAGCUAAGAAAACCCUGAGCCUCAAUGUAGUAAGCAGAGCAUUUCAAAGUGAUGAACACAGCAAGAGCUUGUGUUGAGGGAGCAUAGAUAUGUCAGGCUCAAGGGGCAGGGAAGGUCCUCCCACCUGGUCCUGCUCACUGAAACACUCCAUGAUCACCCUCCCAGGAGACCUGGACCAUGACUCCAGUCUACGAGGCUUUCAGGUUUGCACAGCACUGCACUGCACUGGGGUGGGUGGUCCUAUGCUCUGGGAGAGUUUUCCUCCUUCACAACUGUGAGAGAAUGCAAGGGCAGGAAUCACUGCUGACCUGACCCCUCAGCACCAGCAUCCACAGGCUCACUGUCCACCUGUCUUCAAGAAUAGAAACAGGGCUUGGGGAGAUAAUAUCCAUAGAAGGUAGCUGUCCAGAUAAGGCCUGUUCCAGAAGAUUCCUCAGCCCCAGGACCUUCUGAUGCUCCCCUGAGAGGCUGUACCCCACACCUCAGGCUGUCCUCUAGGAGGAGCUGACCCAGGGCCUCAAAUUCUCUGCCCCCUACAGGACUUAGGUCACUGUUGCACCUGGGCAGCCCCAGAAAAGGAUAGAACAGUGGCUGAGAACACAGAACCUUGUGAAGAGUCUAGAGGAAACUGCUACCCAAAGACAAUAAGGCCUCUAUGCCUGGGAAAGGCAAGGAAAGACGGACCCAAAGGGUUUUAACAGUGGAGUUCCAAUGAUGUUCUCUACUUUCUCCUCUUGACAAAUGUUCACAAACAGAAACAAAUAUUUAAAAAAGUAUCAUCCAUUACCCAGCGAAAAAAUGAUAAUUUAUUACUGUGCCCACUUUAAUGUAAUGAGGGAAACAAAGAGCUGAUAAUGCUGAAAACUAGAGGGGGUAUCUGGAAAUGUGGGAGAGUCUAAAGGACUCCUUCCAGGGUUGGUGUGAGCAGCCUGGGCCUCUGCAAGGGAGGCUGCACAGAAUGCUCUCACUGGACCUUCAGUGACCUCCUCUUGCAGGACCAAUUCUGGCCUUGGUUUAAAGUUACUGGGAUCAAGGAUCUCUUUCCUCAAAUUGUCAAUCAAAAGAGACACAGUGUUAUAAGAAUCCAGGGGGGAAAUCACUCAAAUUCAUAGUUUAUGUUUAUAGGAGGAAUUGCAUAGCUCUGGUCAACAGAAUCAGUGUUAAACAUUCACCUACAGUUCACAAGGUACAGAACAGACCAUCCACUGCCAAACCCCUGCAAGUGCAGGAGCUGAUGUUUUGGUGAAUCUUUGUAAUGAACCAAUUCAUCCACCACAAUGUAUUGGAGAAAUGUACUAACUUUCUGCAACCACAUUGGAACAAGAUCAUCUCUAUUUUCCCAAGGGCAUUCCCAAAGCACAGCCCUGGAAUUCUUCUACCCCCACACCUCCGAAACUAACAUAUCUGAGAGAUGUAGUGCUCUCACCCUAGAGGAGAAAAAAGGUACAUAAAAAAUUUUAACUAACCAGGUGCAGGCCUGUAAUCCCAUUGCCUCCAGAGGAUGACACAGGAAGGAUACAAAUUCAAAACAAGCCUCAGAAACAUAGCAAGGCCCUCAAAUGCUUGGUAAGACCCUUUCUCAAAAGAAAAAAUAAAAAGUCUGGAGAUUCUCAGCAUAAUCAAUAUGUGAAGAGAAAGCCUACACAAUGGGAAAAAAUCUUUACCACACACACCCCAGAGCACUAAUCUCUAGGAUAUGUAAAGAACUCAAAAACACUAAACACCAAAAGCAAAAAAAAGAAAAAGAAAAAACAAAAACCAAAAUCCAAUAAAUAAAUGGGCUAAGGAACUGAAAAGAUACUUCAUAGAAGAAGAAAUACAAUCAAUCAACAAAUGUAUGGAAAAAUGCUCCCCAUCUCUAGCAAUUAGAAAAAUGGAAAUCAAAACUACUCUAAGAUUUCAUCUCACACCAGUCAGAAUGGCAAUUAUCAAGAAUACAAGCAACAAUAAAUGUUGACCAGGAUGUGGGAGAAAAAGUACACCCAUCCAUUGCUGGUGGGACUGCAAAUUGGUGCAACCACUUUGGAAAGCAGUAUGGAGAUUUCUCAGAAAACUUAGAAUGGAACCAUCAUUUGACCCAGCUAUCCCACUCAUUGGUUUAUACCCAGAGGACUUAAAAUAAGUAUAUUACAGUGACACAGCCACAUCAAUGUUUAGCAGCUUAAUUCACAAUAGCAAAAAUAUGGAACAAACCUAGAUGCCCUUCAACGGAUGAAUGGUAAAGAAAAUGUGGUAUAUUUACAUAAUGAAAUAUUGCUCAGCCUUAAAGAAGAAUGAAAUGAUGGCAUUUGCAUGUAAAUGGAUUGAACUAGAGAAUACCAUGCUAAGGGAAAUAAGUCAAUCCCAAAAAACAAAAGCUGAUGUUUUCUCUGAUAAGUGGAUGCUGAUCCAUAGUGGGGUGAGGGGGACAGGGAAGAAUGAAGGAACUUUGGAUUUUGCAGAGGGGAUUGAGGGAAUGGGUGGGGCUGUGGGGAUAGGAAGGACUAUAGAAUGAGACAGACACUAUUACUCUCUAUACAGGUAUGAUUACACUACGGGACUGACUCUGCAACAUGUACAGCCAGAGGAAUGAGAAGCUGUGCUCCAUUUGUGUGAAUAUGUCAAGAUGCAUUCUACUGUAAAAUAAAUAAGUAAAGCUAAAAAGGCAUCUAUUGAAAACUUACAGAUGACAUCAUGAUUGGAGGUAAAACCUGGGUACUUUAUAUCUCAGGGAAUGAUAAAACAAGAGUAUGUGAGUUUGCUAUUUGCAUUCAUUAUUUUACUAAAAGUUUGGAUAUUGAACAACAAAGAGAAACUAAUGAGAAAUUAUAUUGUAAGCACAUGUAAAAAUUUCUAAGGAAUUUAUACACUCAUAGGAACACACAACACUAGAGUCAGUUAGCAAAUUUGCAGUUGACAACAGAAAUACACACAAAACCAUAAGGUUUUUACACUGGAAAUGAACAAUCUCAAAAUAGAAAUAAGAAGCAAUUCUAUUCAAAAGUGUACAAAAAAAUACUUAGAAAUAAAUUUUACAACAGAAGGUUAAUAUCUGUCUACUGGAAAGGUAAGACAGAAUGUUGAACCUAAUUAAAGAAGAUAUAAAUAAAUGGAAAGGUAGUUAAUACUCAAGCACAACCGAACUCUGCACCAUUAAGAUCACAUUUUCCUUGUUUAUUACAUCCAAAACAACCAAUUUGACAUGUAUCAUUCUGCUUCUUGAAUCAAAAGGUCUUGAGUGCUUGUCUUCCUAGCAAAACCCUCCAUCUCCAUGAGAGCAAAGACUGUUUUGCUGAUGGAGAAGGAGAUAUCAUGGGGAGGAGAACGAAGGUGCCCCAGCCAAUAGCCAGUUCUCCCCAGAAGCAGAGCUUCCUGGUCAACACAUAGAACACAGGCCUGGGUGGGCCCCUCUGUUCCCAGAUUGCUGACUCAUGAGCUGGUGAUUUGUUCUGCAGAGAGGCCAGGAUUGAACACUAGAGUUACCUGGCCAACAACAGAAGGCCCAUAGGCACUGAUUUUAUCCUCCCCUUAUUUAAUGUUGGAUUUCCUAGUAAAUCAUGCUGAGUUACAUAGGUGUAGUUACAUCUACACCUGUGAUUGAUAGUCACAUCAUACUGCAAAGAGAAAAACACAAACAGCCUGGAGAUUGCAGCUAAGGUCAAACUAUGAAGUAAAUGUAAGCUCAGUGGUACACACAUAAUAAAGGCAGGAGGCAGGAAGGAACAGAGUGUCAGGGUGUCCUUAACCUAGGAAGGGCCUUAGCCUAACUAACUCCAUUUUAAAAUAAAACUGCAGUCCCCACCAGGCACGCCUACAGAGCCCUUCAAUAUGGCCAUCAGGCAUAGCCUGAUAAAAUAAGUCGCUUUGCGCAACCCUGAUAAAACUUAGAGUGAAGUCUCAGGCAUUUGCCUUCACCCUGAUAAAGGCAAAGAAGCCAGGGCAGAAACCACCAGACCAGAUGUCCUGACCUCAGAACGAAGUCACUGAGAAACCCGGUAACAGCUGAUAGUGAUUGAAAGGGCAGGCAAAAGCCCCAAAAUUUAGCAUAAAUAAUGGAGCAAAUGUCAGCCAGCCGACACUGAUGCACACAAGACUGAUGAGCCCCUGAACUGACAUCCCAACUCUUCUCCUCUGCCUGAUCCUCUAGGUCAUCCUCACUGCUUUCAAACUCUCCAGCAGCCUCUUGACUCUGGUGAGAAAAGGAUUCUUCCUUAAGACAGUCUCCACAGCCAGCCAUCAGCUCCUCCCCAGGAGAAGCCUCCAUCAGUUCCUGACCUGGUCACUGUGGUCCAAGUGAGUGUGGAUCUGCUGGACUGAAGGCCUAAGACUUAAUUCCUACUACUUAAGCUUAGCAUGCAAAGGGAAUGUCUGUAAUAGGUCUGUCAUGAUUAAAUGUGUUUGCAGUGCUUAGAGUUAACUUAGAAUUGUUUGCUUUGAAUUGGUUAUGUCUAUUGCAGUGCCCAGAAUUAAGGAUUGUAAUUCCUUGAUUAAGAACCUAUAGAGUGAAUUGUAUUGCAUGAUUUUAGUGAAUAAAGCAUUGAAAAGGGCUUAAGUGCAUGGAAAUUCUUUAUCUCUCCCCUGGACUGCAGAUGUUGCACUUUUGCCCAUCGCCACACACAGUCAAUUGUUCAAACACCUUAGGUAUCUUACUUUCAGGACUGGGAGUGGAAAUGGCGCAGGGCUAAAGCAAGAGUCUUGGUUUUGUAAGCUCAUCCAUUAGUUUGCUGACAGAAGUCUGAAUAGGGAAUUUCCUGGGGCUUAUUGUAUUGGGGUCCACUGACACAUUAGGAUUUGGUUUUAAGGUGCUAGUCAAAUGGGAGGUCCUUUUAUGUUAUUUUCCUCUAAUACGCCUGGGCUUUUCAACGACAAAAACUUCAAUUUUACCCUAGAGAAGGUGG
rnacentral:lncRNA from 1 species